AGGCGUUCGGACUGGCCCAGGGAGGUCGGCAACGACCACCCAGGGCCGGAAAGUUCGUCAAACUUGGUCAUUUAGAGGAAGUAAAAGUCGUAACAAGGUCUCCGUAGGUGAACCUGCGGAGGGAUCAUU
rnacentral:rRNA from 1 species